rfam:Rhizobium sp. MH17 scaffold10, whole genome shotgun sequence.
GGCCCCUUAGCUCAGCUGGAUAGAGCACCUGCCUUCUAAGCAGGUUGUCGCAGGUUCGAGCCCUGCAGGGGUCG